AUCCCACCCCCAUCACGUCACUUCCGUCACCUCGUCUGCCACCGCACCCGUCGGACCACCGGAUAAACUCCUGCGCCGACAUCACCCAUCUCCUAUCGCCUAUCACCUAUCUCCUUUUCCCUUUUUGAAGACGUUUCCAAAAGCUGUAAAGGGAGAGAUUCUUACAUCCUUCGGUCUGGGAGAUAAUCGUCCUUCAAUUCGAUGAACAAUGGCAAGAAUCACCAUACUCUACACCCCAACGGCUCUUUCCCUUCCCAAUAAGUCUGAAAAGUUCUUGGCUGAGCAAGGACCACUUUGAGCGGAUUCGAAGACUCGACGACGAUAAUAGCCUCAGUUCGCUGUCACGGAGAAGCACUCAAACUAGUAAAAAUAUUCAUUCUAUGAUUAUGACAUGUAACGAAACCGUUGAGCAAAGUACAAACGACGAACAAGAUUACGAGGAAUACGACGAAAGCAUGAUGCUUGAGAAUCUUCCGCAAGAGAUCAAGAAACUCGAGAAUCAAAAGAAACCGAACUUGGAUGAAACUGAGAUAGUUAACUUAGGAGACGAUGAAACAGUGAAGGAAACUCGGAUCAGCAUACACUUAGAAGCUGAACGGAAACAAGAAUUGUUGGAAUUGCUUAAGCAAUAUGUCGAUGUAUUUGCUUGGUCCUAUGACGACAUGCCCGGGCUGAGCACCGACAUCGUCUCUCAUAGGCUACCAACUGAUC